rnacentral:rRNA from 1 species
ACGAACGCUGGCGGCAUGCCUAACACAUGCAGGUCGAACGCGACCUUCGGGUCUAGUGGCGCACGGGUGCGUCACGCGUGGGAAUCUGCCCUUCGGUUGGGAAUAACUGAGAGAAAUUUCAGCUAAUACCUUAUAAUGUCUUCGGACCAAAGAUUUAUCGCCGAGGGAUGAGCCCGCGUAGGAUUAGGUAGUUGGUGGGGUAAUGGCCUACCAAGCCGACGAUCCUUAGCUGGUCUGAGAGGAUGAUCAGCCACACUGGGACUGAGACACGGCCCAGACUCCUACGGGAGGCAGCAGUGGGGAAUAUUGGACAAUGGGCGAAAGCCUGAUCCAGCAAUGCCGCGUGAGUGAUGAAGGCCUUAGGGUUGUAAAGCUCUUUUACCCGGGAUGAUAAUGACAGUACCGGGAGAAUAAGCUCCGGCUAACUCCGUG